CGUUGGAAAAAUUAUGUUUUGGUACAAUGACUGUAGUGCUUUUUUUUUUUUUUGAAAAUUUCACAUGAUAUGCGUGAAUAAAUGUGCAUUAACUUUUCUAAAAUAUUUCGUUUGUCUACACCAACAAAAAUAUUUUUUUAUCGCGAGCACAAUUGCAUAACCUUUUAAGACGGAAGCUGCGUGGCCGCAAGGUUACAGAGUCUGCUUUGUCAGUCGAUAUCAAUAAGAAUUAACCAUGGGUUUAUUCUCAGGCUCCCCCAUCAAUUACCUUUCCUUUACUCUAAAUUCUAUUAUACCUUUGUGUGACUUUCUCUUAACGAAAAUAAUUCCCUAUCAUCAAUAAAACUGACCCAAAGGGCGCACGAUUUUAGUUGAAAAGUAUUGCAGUUUUAGAAAAAUCUUGCAUUCAUUCCUAGGGUCCAAUGAAAAACAAUGAGACAGGUGAGUACGAUCAGCCAACCUACUUGUUUCGGGAAAAACAUGGGAAAUGUGGUCCCAUAAGCUUCUGUACUGGUUAGUGGAGCAAAAUGGACACAGCUUUGCUAGAAGCUUUGUGAGAUGAUAGUUUACGACAAUAAAUAUUCAAAAUUUUGAGUUGUGUCGUUAUCCGACGAUACAAUGGUCACUUCUUCACAAUGCACUUCGUUUGGAGAUAAACACUUUGGCGAUACGCUGCAGUUUCCAAGGAAUCACACGGAUUCUUGCAAAGCUGUGAAUUGACUUUCACUGUCUUCCAGCAGACUAUUUUACUACCGGAGACACCCGACUUUGCAAUGUAAGUAAACAAGAAAAUAAUUGCAAGUGAUGAAUAAAAUGUAUUUUUUUUGUCAUUUUGAGUAGCUUCAUGUUAAUUACGAGCGGAAUCUGUACGCGGCCGUAGUCACAGGAAGCUGAGGUCUAUACCGGGUGCGCUUGAAGCUUCCAAUGCCGAACUUGAGUGAAACAUACCAGCACGAGAACAUGAAGAAGAAACUGCUGUUGCUGGACUACUGCUGCUGUUGGGACUACUGUUGCUGCUGGGACUAUUACUACUGCUGCUGGGACUGCUGCCGAACUGUUGCCUCCAAGCAGUUUCGUGGAAACUCUAGGAACAACUAUUACAACAUGAUCCAAUGAUCAACUGGAAGGCUCAGAAAUAUUGAAACGGAUAGGUAAAAUUGCUCCAGCGGGAGAACCUUGACUGAUACGAAAAAUUCAGCGAUUGCGACAUCGAUCGGGCAAGCAAGUCUACACAAUUGGAACGCUGCGUUCAUACACAUAUCCUGUUGUUACCAGGAAAUGAUUCAAUUAAAUGAACAAACU